AUACUUACCUGACAGGGGAGAUACUAUGAUCAUGAAGGUGGUUUUCCCAGGGCGAGGCUUAUCCAUUGCACUCCGAAUGUGCUGACCCCUGCGAUUUCCCCAAAUGUGAGAAAUCAACUGCAUAAUUUGUGGUAGUUGGGACUGUGUUCACACUUUCCCCU
rnacentral:snRNA from 1 species